rnacentral:tRNA from 1 species
UGGGAGAUCGUCUAAAGGUAGGACGACAGGUUCUGGUCCUGUUAAUCUAGGUUCGAGUCCUGGUCUCCCAGCAA